rnacentral:rRNA from 1 species
UACGUAGGGUGCGAGCGUUUGUCCGGAAUCAUUGGGCGUAAAGCGCGCGUAGGCGGCCCGAUAAGUCUGCUGUGAAAGUCCAGGGCUCAACCCUGGAAUGCCGGUGGAUACUGUCGGGCUAGAGUUCGGAAGAGGCAAGUGGAAUUCCUGGUGUAGCGGUGGAAUGCGCAGAUAUCAGGAGGAACACCUAUAGCGAAGGCAGCUUGCUGGGACGACACUGACGCUGAGGCGCGAAAGCGUGGGGAGCGAACAGG